rnacentral:ncRNA from 1 species
UGUGGAUUAAUUCGAUGCAACGCGAAGAACCUUACCAGGGUUUGACAUGUCAAGAACUUCCCAGAAAUGGGAGGGUGCCCUAACGGGAGCUUGAACACAGGUGGUGCAUGGCUGUCGUCAGCUUGUGAAUGCAUUGGUGAUUGGUGGAUUCUGGCGUGGGCCCCUGGUAAGGUGGAAUAAGAUUUCAUAGGCGGGGCUGCCUUUACUUUUUGGCCAUCUCGCA